rnacentral:rRNA from 1 species
CCAAUAGCGUAUAUUAAAGUUGUUGCAGUUAAAAAGCUCGUAGUUGAAUUUCGGGAUCAAUAUUUCGGUCAUGCCGUUGGUAUGCACUGUUAUAAUUGAUUUCUCACCUUCUAAAGAACCGUAAUGCCAUUAAUUUGGUGUUACGGGGAAUUAGGACUGUUACCUUGAAAAAAUUAGAGUGUUUAAAGCAGGCUCACGCUUGAAUACAUUAGCAUGGAAU